UGCAAAUGCUGGCGGGGAGGGGGGAAACUGAGAGAGGGAGAGCCUGAGGGGCAGACGUGGAGCGCAGGAGACUCGGUCCCGGAGCUGGGCUUGCCAGGGUGCAUUGUACUCACGCUGGGGGGCUGAAGACCUUCUUUCACUGGUUCUAUUUAUCAGCCAAACUUUAACCGACCUUUGGACUUAUUAAGCAAGUAGCUUGCAGCCUAGGCGCGGGGGCCUUUCCAACCGGUUACGAGUUUCGCUGUGGUCCGGAGAGAGGACACUACGCUUCAGGGUUCAGUUCCAAUCCAUCUAUGGUCCCAAGGGCCAGGGCCAGGUAACCGCAUAGGGUUAUGGCAGCAGUGGUGGAACCUCAACUUCUGAGCAGAGAAGGUGCUGACAAAGCCACUGACGGAAGGAAGUUUUUUUCCAUUCUGGCCUGGGUCUUAAAGAAAGCCAUGGGCCUUUCAGCACUGUUGGAGAUUCACUCCCAUCUCCCCGGGGCACGGAAGGAAGGAGCCACACGCAAACCCACGGGCUGAGACCUGACCUACGGAAGAAAGGCUUCUUGGGAUUCAUCUCUCACCAACAUCGCUUCUGGGGCAGAGGACACUCCUUCCCCGCUCUGCGCCUCGGUUUCCUUGCCUGUAAAACCGGGAUACUACUGAUAAUUACAGUGCGGGGUGGGGAGUGGGCGUUGUGUACAUUAAGUUUAAGACCACCUGCAACCUCUUGGUUUAAUAA